rnacentral:rRNA from 1 species
UACGAAGGGGGGCUAGCGUUGCUCGGAAUCACUGGGCGUAAAGGGCGCGUAGGCGGCGUUUUUAAGUCGGGGGUGAAAGCCUGUGGCUCAACCACAGAAUGGCCUCGAUACUGGGACGCUUGAGUAUGGUAGAGGUUGGUGGAACUGCGAGUGUAGAGGUGAAAUUCGUAGAUAUUCGCAAGAACACCGGUGGCGAAGGCG